rnacentral:rRNA from 1 species
GAUGAACGCUAGCGGCAGGCUUAAUACAUGCAAGUCGAGGGGCAGCGCGGGUAGCAAUACCUGGCGGCGACCGGCAAACGGGUGCGGAACACGUACGCAACCUUCCCAAAACUGGGGAAUAGCCCUCCGAAAGGAGGAUUAAUACCCCGUAACAUAACGAAGUGGCAUCACUUUGUUAUUAUAGUUCCGACGGUUUUGGAUGGGCGUGCGCCUGAUUAGGUAGUUGGCGGGGUAACGGCCCACCAAGCCUACGAUCAGUAACUGGUGUGAGAGCACGACCAGUCACACGGGCACUGAGACACGGGCCCGACUCCUACGGGAGGCAGCAGUAAGGAAUAUUGGUCAAUGGACGCAAGUCUGAACCAGCCAUGCCGCGUGAAGGAUGAAGGUCCUCUGGAUUGUAAACUUCUUUUGUACGGAACGAAAAAGCUCUCUCUAAUACAGGGGGUGAAUGACGGUACCGUAAGAAUAAGCACCGGCUAACUACGUG